rnacentral:rRNA from 1 species
AUUGAACGCUGGCGGUAUGCUUAACACAUGCAAGUCGAACGGUAACAGGCCUUCGGGCGCUGACGAGUGGCGGACGGGUGAGUAACGCGUAGGAAUCUGCCUUAUAGUGGGGGACAACGUGGGGAAACCCACGCUAAUACCGCAUACGCCCUACGGGGGAAAGCGGGGGAUCGUAAGACCUCGCGCUAUGAGAUGAGCCUGCGUUAGAUUAGCUAGUUGGUAGGGUAAAGGCCUACCAAGGCGACGAUCUAUAGCUGGUCUGAGAGGACGAUCAGCCACACUGGGACUGAGACACGGCCCAGACUCCUACGGGAGGCAGCAGUGGGGAAUAUUGGACAAUGGGCGCAAGCCUGACCCAGCAAUACCGCGUGUGUGAAGAAGGCCUUAGGGUUGUAAAGCACUUUCAAUGGGGAGGAAAACCUGCCGGUCAAUACCCGGUAGCUUGACAUUACCCAUAGAAGAAGCACCGGCUAACUCCGUGCCAGCAGCCGCCGUAAAAC